AAUGAACGCUGGCGGCGCGCCUAAUACAUGCAAGUCGAGCGAGAAGACGUAGCAAUACGUUUGUAAAGCGGCGAACGGGUGAGGAAUACAUGGGUAACCUACCCUCGAGUGGGGAAUAACUAGCCGAAAGGUUAGCUAAUACCGCGUACGCUCCUUGGACUUCGGUUCAGGGAGGAAAGCGAUACCGUGGGUAUCGCGCUCUUGGUUGGGCUCAUGUCCUAUCAGCUUGUUGGUGAGGAACGGCUCACCAAGGCUUCGACGGGUAGCUGGUCUGAGAGGACGAUCAGCCACACUGGCACUGCGACACGGGCCAGACUCCUACGGGAGGCAGCAGUAAGGAAUAUUGCGCAAUGGGCGAAAGCCUGACGCAGCGACGCCGCGUGGGGGAUGAAGGUCUUCGGAUUGUAAACCCCUUUCGGGAGGGAAGAUGGAACGAGCAAUCGUUCGGACGGUACCUCCAGAAGC
rnacentral:rRNA from 1 species